CCUACGGGAGGCAGCAGUGGGGAAUAUUGCACAAUGGGGGAAACCCUGAUGCAGCGACGCCGCGUGAAGGAUGAAGGUUUUCGGAUCGUAAACUUCUAUCAGCAGGGAAGAUAGUGACAGUACCUGACUAAGAAGCCCCGGCUAACUACGUGCCAGCAGCCGCGGUAAUACGUAAGGGGCAAGCGUUAUCCGGAUUUACUGGGUGUAAAGGGUGCGUAGGCGGCGAAGUAAGUCAGAUGUGAAAGCCCGAGGCUCAACCUCGGGACUGCAUUUGAAACUGCUUUGCUAGAGUGCAGGAGAGGAAAGCGGAAUUCCUAGUGUAGCGGUGAAAUGCGUAGAUAUUAGGAGGAACACCAGUGGCGAAGGCGGCUUUCUGGACUGUAACUGACGCUGAGGCACGAAAGCGUGGGGAGCGAACAGGAUUAGAUACCCUGGUAGUCCACGCUGUAAACGAUGAAUGCUAGGUGUCGGGGGUCGAACCUCGGUGCCGCAGCUAACGCAUUAAGCAUUCCACCUGGGGAGUACGAUCGCAAGAUUGAAACUCAAAUGAAUUGACGGA
rnacentral:rRNA from 1 species